rnacentral:miRNA from 1 species
AGCAUAGCAUAGCAUAGCAUAGCAUAGCAUAGCAUAGCAUAGUAUAGUAACACAGUACAGUAUAGUUGGUAUAGUAUAGUGUAGCACAGUACAGUAUAGUUAGUAUACUACAAGUACA